AGAAUCAACGCUGGCGGCGUGCCUAACACAUGCAAGUCGCACGAGAAAGGGUAGCAAUACCUGAGUACAGUGGCGCACGGGUGAGUAACACGUGAAUAAUCUACCUCCGAGUGGGGAAUAAACUGAGAGAAAUCUUAGCUAAUACCGCAUAACACUUACGAGUCAAAGCAGCAAUGCGCUUGGAGAGGAGUUCGCGGCAGAUUAGUUAGUUGGCGGGGUAAUGGCCCACCAAGACGAUGAUCUGUA
rnacentral:rRNA from 1 species